rnacentral:rRNA from 1 species
AUUGAACGCUAGCGGCAGGCCUUACACAUGCAAGUCGAACGAGUGGCGGACGGGUGAGUAAUCUCUGGGAACCUGCCCGAUAGAGGGGGAUAACUACUGGAAACAGUGGCUAAUACCGCAUACCAUCGGAUGUGCCCAUAUGGGAUUAGCUAGUUGGUGGGGUAAAGGCUCACCUAGGCGACGAUCCCUAGCUGGUCUGAGAGGAUGACCAGCCACACUGGAACUGAGACACGGUCCAGACUCCUACGGGAGGCAGCAGUGGGGAAUAUUGGACAAUGGGCGCAAGCCUGAUGCAGCCAUGCCGCGUGUAUGAAGAAGGCCUUCGGGUUGUAAAGUACUUUCAGCGGGGAAGCGUUAACAGCAGAAGAAGCACCGGCUAACUCCGUGCCAGCCGCCGCGGUAAUAC